rnacentral:rRNA from 1 species
UACGUAGGUGGCAAGCGUUAUCCGGAUUUAUUGGGCGUAAAGGGAACGCAGGCGGUCUUUUAAGUCUGAUGUGAAAGCCUUCGGCUUAACCGGAGUAGUGCAUUGGAACCUGGGAGACUUGAGUGCAGAAGAGGAGAGUGGAACUCCAUGUGUAGCGGUGAAAUGCGUAGAUAUAUGGAAGAACACCAGUGGCGAAAGCGGCUCUCUGGUCUGUAACUGACGCUGAGGUUCGAAAGCGUGGGUAGCAAACAGG